UCAUCCUGAUUGGUUAGAAGGCAACUCAGGUAGCUCAUUGGUGUUUUUGGAGGAGGAGUCCUCCAUUUUAAGUCGGGCUUGCAGACAGGGUGCCUUCUGGCAGGUUCUGCUUUGGAAGAGAAGUGGUUAACAAUAGCUUCCGACAAAAAGACCCCUGGUGCACAGUGGUUUGUUUUUGUUUUUGUUUUUGUUUUGUUUUGCGUGGGGCUUGUUCCCGUAGUCCCUGGCUCAAUUUCUGCACUAUAUCUCCUUUUUGGGGAGUGGGGUGGGGCCUCAGGGCCUGAGGGGUCCAGAAGAAGAAAGGAAGCAGAGAGGAUCCUGGAGAUUUUCUGCGAGACAGCUGGAGGAAAUCCUGUGUACUCUGCAUUCAACGUGAUUCCCAAACAAAGUGGAUCUGAACUGAUGCCUUUCUGGGGGAAGAGCCUAUUUUCCAUCUGGGAAAGUGCCUCUUUGUGUGGUGUGAGGAAACAGCAGUCCAUAGUACCUCAGGCAGCUUGUGAGUGAUGACAGAAGUGAAGCUUUCCUUCCUCUUCAGCUUCUGCACUUAAUAAUUUAGUCAAGGAUGAUGAAGCAAUCUCAGACCAGGCUUCUUACCAGAUCAAGUUUUCACUCCACAGACCUGCCUUUCUCUCAAGGAACCCCUCCAGAGUGGAGCCCCACCCUUCCCAGCUUGCGUGAUUCUGCAGGUGGAUUAGCAGGAAUAAUGGACUUAAUAGCCACCACCUAUGUGCAAGGGUCUUUGGGACUGCGUUGGACUGAUUGAAGUGCCUACCUCAAUCGGCAAAUGCAAAUUGCAAUCAAGAAAAGAAUCCAGAACUCAGGAUAAGAGAUGCAGAGACAAACAUCAGAACAGAGACAUGAGGCAAAACCAGGUAUAAGAAAUCAUUCAAGAAAGAAAAGAGAAAUCAUUCCGUGUCAGAAGCCAAUAUCAUCAGAAGCAGCUCAUAUAUACUGUGUCGUUUUUCCCAGGGAAGGAACCAUGAAGGAAGGGGAAUGUCUGCUUGGGAUUGGAGCUCUUGAUAUUUCUGUCCCUUCUCAUGUUUAAGGUCCUGGGACUAAGACCUGAGACUGUAGUCCGGGCCUCAGGAAACCUCUCAAGAUGUGGAUGCAGUCCCCACCAUGUGUCCUAAUUGUCUUGCUCUGGUGACCCUCGUUACCUCUCUGCCUCUUCACUUAGAUUCUUCAGCAUCCCCUGAAAGUAGGGUUGAGCACAUGACCAAGUUCUGGCCGGUGAGACCAAAAGAAAAUCUGCAAUUAGGCGUCUGAAAAAGCUUUUGCUUUCAUGGUAAAAAAAAGACAGAAGCUCCUAAAACAGAUCCGUGUUACUGCUCUGUUUCACAAAUUCAUUGCCAAGCCCUACAGAGGAAUGAACAAAAGGUAUAACGUAAGUAAUCAACCCAGGAACCAAGGAAGUCUCAGGUAGGUGUAAAGACAAGUCUCCCUGAUAAUAAACAUAUGGCGAAGUUUUAAUUCCCUCAUGCUGCCACUCAUAUCACAGAGGGGAAGCAAUGAUUCUGUCUCCUUUUAAGUCCUACACAUUGGAUAAGGAGGUAAGGGAUAUCAAAAUUAACUUGUCUGCUUUAGCUGGAAACUUAGCUCUUCCUCUUCCCUCUCUUGAACAUUUCAGCCC